GACGAACGCUGGCGGCGUGCCUAAUACAUGCAAGUAGAACGCUGAAGAGAGGAGCUUGCUCUUCUUGGAUGAGUUGCGAACGGGUGAGUAACGCGUAGGUAACCUGCCUUGUAGCGGGGGAUAACUAUUGGAAACGAUAGCUAAUACCGCAUAACAAUGGAUGACACAUGUCAUUUAUUUGAAAGGGGCAAUUGCUCCACUACAAGAUGGACCUGCGUUGUAUUAGCUAGUAGGUGAGGUAACGGCUCACCUAGGCGACGAUACAUAGCCGACCUGAGAGGGUGAUCGGCCACACUGGGACUGAGACACGGCCCAGACUCCUACGGGAGGCAGCAGUAGGGAAUCUUCGGCAAUGGGGGCAACCCUGACCGAGCAACGCCGCGUGAGUGAAGAAGGUUUUCGGAUCGUAAAGCUCUGUUGUAAGUCAAGAACGAGUGUGAGAGUGGAAAGUUCACACUGUGACGGUAGCUUACCAGAAAGGGACGGCUAACUACGUGCCAGCGGCCGCGGUAAUACGUAGGUCCCGAGCGUUGUCCGGAUUUAUUGGGCGUAAAGCGAGCGCAGGCGGUUUGAUAAGUCUGAAGUUAAAGGCUGUGGCUCAACCAUAGUUCGCUUUGGAAACUGUCAAACUUGAGUGCAGAAGGGGAGAGUGGAAUUCCAUGUGUAGCGGUGAAAUGCGUAGAUAUAUGGAGGAACACCGGUGGCGAAAGCGGCUCUCUGGUCUGUAACUGACGCUGAGGCUCGAAAGCGUGGGGAGCGAACAGG
rnacentral:rRNA from 1 species